ACGAAGGGGGCUAGCGUUGUUCGGAAUGACUGGGCGUAAAGCGCACGUAGGCGGCCUGUUUAGUCAGGGGUGAAAUCCCGGGGCUUAACCCCGGAACUGCCUUUGAUACUGGCAGGCUUGAGCCCGGAAGAGGGUGGCGGAAUACCCAGUGUAGAGGUGAAAUUCGUAGAUAUUGGGUAGAACACCGGUGGCGAAGGCGGCCACCUGGUCCGGUGCUGACGCUGAGGUGCGAAAGCGUGGGGAGCAAACAG
rnacentral:rRNA from 1 species